UACGUAGGUGGCAAGCGUUGUCCGGAUUUACUGGGCGUAAAGAGCGCGCAGGCGGUCGUUCAAGUCGCGUGUGAAAGCCCCCGGCUCAACUGGGGAGGGUCACGCGAUACUGAUCGACUCGAAGGCAGGAGAGGGUAGUGGAAUUCCCGGUGUAGUGGUGAAAUGCGUAGAUAUCGGGAGGAACACCAGUGGCGAAGGCGACGCCUGGACCGGCAUUGACGCUGAGGCGCGAAAGCCAGGGGAGCAAACGGG
rnacentral:rRNA from 1 species